UAGGGAAUAUUGGACAAUGGGGGAAACCCUGAUCCAGCAAUGCCGCGUGAGUGAUGAAGGCCUUCGGGUUGUAAAGCUCUUUUAUCGGGGACGAUGAUGACGGUACCCGAUGAAUAAGCUCCGGCUAACUUCGUGCCAGCAGCCGCGGUAAUACGAGGGGAGCUAGCGUUGUUCGGAAUUACUGGGCGUAAAGGGCGCGUAGGCGGUACUAUAAGUCAGAUGUGAAAGCCCUGGGCUUAACCUAGGAGGUGCAUUUGAAACUGUAGAACUAGAGAUCGAGAGAGGAAAGUGGAAUUACGAGUGUAGAGGUGAAAUUCGUAGAUAUUCGUAAGAACACCAGUGGCGAAGGCGACUUUCUGGCUCGAUACUGACGCUAAGGCGCGAAAGCGUGGGGAGCAAACAGGAUUAGAUACCCGUGUAGUCCCUGAGCGGGCUGGCAAGGCGCAU
rnacentral:rRNA from 1 species